GACGAACGCUGGCGGCGUGCUUAACACAUGCAAGUCGAACGGAAAGGCCCUGCUUUGGUGGGGUGCUCGAGUGGCGAACGGGUGAGUAACACGUGAGUAACCUGCCCUCGACGUUGGGAUAACUUCCUGAAAAUGGGGCUAAUACCGGAUAGGAUCUCCGGCUGCAUGGUGGGGGUUGGAAAGGUUCGGCGGUUGGGGAUGGUCUCGCGGCUUAUCAGCUUGUUGGUGGGGUAGUGGCGUACCAAGGCUUCGACGGGUAGCCGGCCUGAGAGGGUGACCGGCCACCUUGGGACUGAGCUACGGCCCAGACUCCUACGGGAGGCAGAAGUGGGGAAUAUUGCCUAAUGGGCGGACGCCUGAUGCAGCAACGCCGCGUGCGGGAUGACGGCCUUCGGGUUGUAGACCGCUUUCGCCUGUGACGAAGCGUGAGUGACGGUAAUGGGUAAAGAAGCACCGGCUAACUACGUG
rnacentral:rRNA from 1 species